CCACAACUGAGAAGGUCGGGUCGA
rnacentral:siRNA from 1 species